rnacentral:rRNA from 1 species
UACGGGGGGAGCAAGCGUUGUUCGGAUUUACUGGGCGUAAAGGGCGCGUAGGCGGCCACCGCAAGUCAAUUGUGAAAUCUCCGGGCUUAACUCGGAAAGGUCAACUGAUACUGCGGGGCUAGAGUGCAGAAGGGGCAACUGGAAUUCUCGGUGUAGCGGUGAAAUGCGUAGAUAUCGAGAGGAACACCUGCGGCGAAGGCGGGUUGCUGGGCUGACACUGACGCUGAGGCGCGAAAGCUAGGGGGGCGAACGG